rnacentral:rRNA from 1 species
AACGAACGCUGGCGGCAGGCCUAACACAUGCAAGUCGAACGCCGUAGCAAUACGGAGUGGCAGACGGGUGAGUAACGCGUGGGAACAUACCCCUCGGUUCGGAAUAACUCAGGGAAACUUGAGCUAAUACCGGAUACGUCCGAGGUUUUAAUCGACCUUGGAGAAAGAUUUAUCGCCGGAGGAUUGGCCCGCGUCUGAUUAGCUUGUUGGUGAGGUAAUGGCUCACCAAGGCGACGANCAGUAGCUGGUCUGAGAGGAUGAUCAGCCACAUUGGGACUGAGACACGGCCCAAACUCCUACGGGAGGCAGCAGUGGGGAAUAUUGGACAAUGGGCGAAAGCCUGAUCCAGCCAUGCCGCGUGAGUGAUGAAGGCCUUAGGGUUAGUAAAGCUCUUUACCCGGGAAGAUAAUGACGGUACCGGGAGAAUAACGCCCCGGCUAAC